UACAGAGGGGGCAAGCGUUAUUCGGAAUUAUUGGGCGUAAAGGGCGCGUAGGCGGGUCAUCAAGUCCGGGGUGAAAGCCCCGGGCUCAACCUGGGAACCGCGCUUGAGACUGGCACGCUCGAGUUCGGGAGAGGAUGGUGGAAUUCCCAGUGUAGAGGUGAAAUUCGUAGAUAUUGGGAAGAACACCGAUGGCGAAGGCAGCCAUCUGGACCGACACUGACGCUGAGGCGCGAAAGCGUGGGGAGCAAACAGG
rnacentral:rRNA from 1 species